CCACGCAAGGCAGAGUUUACGGACAGGUAAUGCUUAAAUUUCGGGACAAGUAAUGCCCUACGGCACAGGGUGUAGAAGACGAGCAGGCGGCCCGAAAGGCGACGGACGUAAUCCGCGCAAAUCCAUAAACGCCAACGAUGAGCGUUUUGCUCUGGCCGCUUAAGGCCUAAGCCGAGGCCGCUUUAGCCUUGUCACCCAAGAAAAGCCGGCGGGGACUUCGGUCCCCGUCGUCA
rnacentral:tmRNA from 1 species